rnacentral:misc_RNA from 1 species
GAAAAAUAAGGGUCAUUGAAACUAAGGGAAAUAAUUUUGGUCAAUUUGAACUCAUAUAAAUCUAUUGGGUAGGAAUAUAAUAACUCGAAUGUCUUUAUCUUGAAAACUUUAUUUUGGUUAUACAUGAAGUGUGGCUGGUUAGUUUAUCAACUUCUUGAUCAUUGCUAUUCUUGCUCAUGUUAAAGACACAAAUUCCAUGGGGAAUAGUUGAAGGAUAUCAUCAAUUCAUCAUCCUACCUUCAGCUUAUGAAUUAUAGAAGUAUUUGUAUUCUUGCUCAUGUUAAAGACACAAAUUCCAUGGGGAAUAGUUGAAGGAUAUCAUCAAUUCAUCAUCCUACCUUCAGCUUAUGAAUUAUAGAAGUAUUUG